CUCCGUGUUGUAGCUAACGCGUUAAGCACUCCGCCUGGGGACUACGGUCGCAAGACUAAAACUCAAAGGAAUUGACGGGGACCCGCACAAGCAGUGGAGCAUGUGGUUUAAUUCGAUGCAACGCGAAAAGCCUUACCACUCCUUGACAUGGAGAUUAGAUCCUUCUUAACAGAAGGGCGCAGUUCGGCUGGAUCUCGCACAGGUGCUGCAUGGCUGUCGUCAGCUCGUGUCGUGAGAUGUUGGGUUAAGUCCCGCAACGAGCGUAACCCUCAUCCUUAGUUGCCAGCGGGUUAAGCCGGGCACUUUAAGGAAACUGCCAAUGGUAAACUGGAGGAAGGUGGGGAUGACGUCAAGUCAGCACGGCCCUUAUGGGGUGGGCUACACACGUGCUACAAUGGUGACUACAAUAGGUUGCAAUGUCGCAAGGCUGAGCUAAUCCGUAAAAGUCAUCUCAGUUCGGAUUGUCCUCUGCAACUCGAGGGCAUGAAGUCGGAAUCGCUAGUAAUCGUGGAUCAGCAUGCCACGGUGAAUACGUUCUCGGGUCUUGUACACACUGCCCGUCACGCCAUGGGAAUUGGCUUAACUCGAAGCUGGUGCGC
rnacentral:rRNA from 1 species